rnacentral:rRNA from 1 species
AAGUCGUAACAAGGUUUCCGUAGGUACACACGUUUGCCUACCGGAGCCCCCCGCAGCGACUCUAAAGAAGUGCCCCAGUCGACCCCAAUCGGGGGUCGGCGACGCCGUCAAUCUGCUCUGGGAGCGCCGUCCGCGGCCCUACCAGAAGCCCCCUUGGGGGUCCACAGAUCAAACGACAGCGGCCGCCCCCGGCGGUUGAGAUAUGACCGGCCCCGGCCUUCAUUGGCCGGCGACCUCGCGGAACCUGCGGAAGGAUCAUUAGUGAGAGGGGUAAAACCCGCGGGGGCUCCGGCCCCCAACUCUUCACCCUUGUAUAACCUACCUCUGUUGCUUUGGCGGGCCUUGGGGUUCGCCCCUUGCCGUCCGGCGGCCCCGUCGCCGGCCCGGUUCGCGCCCGUCAGAGGCCCAUCAAACCCUAUUUAUCAGUGACGUCCGAGCAAAAAACACAAUAGUAAAAAACUUUCAACAACGGAUCUCUUGGUUCUGGCAUCGAUGAAGAACGCAGCGAAAUGCGAUAAGUAAUGUGAAUUGCAGAAUUCAGUGAAUCAUCGAAUCUUUGAACGCACAUUGCGCCCCUCGGUAUUCCGGGGGGCAUGCCUGUUCGAGCGUCAUUGCACCCCUCAAGCUCUGCUUGGUAUUGGGCCUCGCCCCCUGGGCGGACCCGAAAGUCAGUGGCGGCCCGGCGUGACUUCGAGCGUAGUAAAUUAUCUCCCGCUUUGAAAGUUCGCGUCGAGACCGGCCCAACAAGCCUUUUUAUUUUCCAUGAUUGACCUCGGAUCAGGUAGGGAUACCCGCUGAACUUAAGCAUAUCAAUAAGCGGAGGAAAAGAAACCAACAGGGAUUGCCUCAGUAACGGCGAGUGAAGCGGCAAAAGCUCAAAUUUGAAAUCUGGCUCCUUCGGAGUCCGAGUUGUAAUUUGUAGAGGAGAUUUCGGGCGCGGCGCCGGUCUAAGUCCCUUGGAACAGGGCGUCAUAGAGGGUGAGAAUCCCGUAUGUGACCGGUGACCAACCCCAUGUGAAACUCCUUCGACGAGUCGAGUUGUUUGGGAAUGCAGCUCAAAAUGGGAGGUAAAUUUCUUCUAAAGCUAAAUACCGGCCAGAGACCGAUAGCGCACAAGUAGAGUGAUCGAAAGAUGAAAAGCACUUUGGAAAGAGAGUCAAACAGUACGUGAAAUUGUUGAAAGGGAAGCGCUUGCAACCAGACCUGUCCGUGGGCGAUCAACCUCCGUUCUCGGGGGUGCACUCGUCCGCGAUCAGGCCAGCAUCGGUUUGGGCGGUUGGAUAAAGGCCUUGGGAACGUAGCUCCCCUCGGGGAGUGUUAUAGCCCUCGGUGCAAUGCGGCCAGCCCGGACCGAGGACCGCGCUUCGGCUAGGAUGCUGGCGUAAUGGCUGUAAGCGACC